ACCCUCUCAGGAUUGCAUCUGGAGAGUUUCCAUUAUUCUACCAGUCUCUGCAAUGGAAGGGAGAGUCAAAAAGAGGCAUACCCAUUCCAUUCCUAGCUUGGACAGUGGCUAGUGAGUGGAAGGCAAUCUGCUACAAGU
rfam:Ornithorhynchus anatinus chromosome 1, whole genome shotgun sequence.